rnacentral:pre_miRNA from 2 species
UCUUACAGAUGAGCAAAGAAAGUGGUUUCUUGAAGUGGAAUCUACUCCUAGUGAAGAUGCUGUGAC